CGGGCGUCUUAACAUGCAAGUCGAACGUGAUUUUUGUGGAAAGCCCUUCGGGGACGGAAAUGAAAUGAAAGUGGCGAACGGGUGAGUAACACGUGAGCAACCUACCUUACACAGGGGGAUAGCCGUUGGAAACGACGAUUAAUACCGCACGAGACCACAGAAUCGCAUGAUAUAGGGGUCAAAGAUUUAUCGGUGUAAGAAGGGCUCGCGUCUGAUUAGCUAGUUGGGAGGCUAAAGGCCUACCAAGGCGACGAUCAGUAGCCGGUCUGAGAGGAUGAACGGCCACAUUGGAACUGAGACACGGUCCAAACUCCUACGGGAGGCAGCAGUGGGGAAUAUUGCACAAUGGGGGGAACCCUGAUGCAGCGACGCCGCGUGAGCGAAGAAGGUCUUCGAAUCGUAAAGCUCUGUCCUAU
rnacentral:rRNA from 1 species